UAAGUAUUUCUAUUAAUUGCCUUAUUUCAAAUCAGCAAGUGGAGCCAUACCAGUGUUGCACUAGCACUAAUGUUUAUGACUGACCGGGACAAGUCAACUAAAUGUUAGUAUUUUAGGUCACUGAUUGCCAAAGCAUUCAGAUCACUUAGCAUCUUUCAUUUUUGACUGAUGUCUCUGGUUUGAGUUGUGCAGGUCGACCAAGGUCCCAAGGCCGGGGAAGGUCAAUCAACCGUUCAUCGAGGUCCGUGGACCGGGACAGGUCAACCAGUCGUACACCAAGGUCCCAUGACCAGGGAGGGUCAACCAACUGUAAGUAUAUCUAUUAGUUUCAUAUCAGAAACUAGACACUAGUACAAUUGCUCUUGACUGACAACAUUUACAAGCAGAAAAUAUACCUGUUUUUGCCUUUAUUCUAAAAAGACCAUUAAUCAAAUUGUGUGAUAAAUUAUUUUAUUUAUUCAUUUAUUUAUUUGAUUGACAGCACUUCUUUUAAAGUAGAUGCGCUUCUCCUUCCCUACAAAAAUGUGGGCUUUUCAAAUGUGAAUGCAUUUCCAAUCCAGCCCUGCAAAGUGUUGGCUGAUUUGUGUGUCAAAAUGACUCUUGGGAAAAGGGCCUGUUGUUUCUGGUUUUUGUACAUACAUUCCAAUUCCAUCUGUUGGCUACACCACACUUUAUUUCUGUUCACUUAGAUCCUCCAAAGAAAAGGUCUUUACAUACUACAGAGAAGUUCCCCAUUCCAGAAGGGAGUAAGUAUAAAAAAACAAGAGAAUUUAAAUGUCUCACCUAAAGUUAUUUCCAACUGUUUAGCAAACCUGCAAACUUGUUGCUGUUUGGCGAAAAUCAAAGGUGUCAGUUUCUGUUGUUUUAAACCUGCUUAUUAAAGUGGAGGUAAGCUUAGAAUGCAGUGGCAGCUCACCUAUGGUGGACAGAACUUUAAGGUGUACUAACUAUUCUCAUUUUAGUGAAUCUAGCUGGUUUUAACUGAGUAUUUCCAAAGUUCUGGCCAGCCUCUUCCAGAAUUAUAAUUAUUUUACGUGUUUCUGAAAUGAUUGUUAAAUGUGGGAGGAUUUCUGCUAAUGUAGGGUUAUGUUUCCCUUAUCUUGUCAUUUUUUGGACAUGACAUGAAGUGCAUUUCAAUCUGUAUUUCUUAGACAUCACAGUGCUAACAGUCUCUGGGUGGUCUAGCCAUGUUUUUCAAUGUCUUUUUUCCUAAGAUUAUGUUCCCAAACUGUAUUUUGUUUUUUCUUUGGUCUUAGGAGUUGUAAGGUAUUCAGCCAAUUCAAUCUCUCUUUUUAGUCUUGGAUAAUAAACAGGUAAC